UCGUCUCAAGCCAGACAUGUGAACCACUCAGCCACUGAGGCUCUCGGAGAACUCAGGGAAAGAGCCCCUGGGCAAGGCACAAACGGGUUUCAGCUGCUACGCCACGCAGUGAAACGGGACCUCUUACCACCGCGCACCCCACCUUACCAAGAAAUGAAAUGAAGGAGGUGGGCUCGAUCUCAGACUCCAUCAGAGCACAGCAGCCUGGGGGUGUGGAAGCAGAGCCUCACCCAAGGACCAAGGGGUCUCCACCAGGGACAGGCCAGCAGCACAGACAACGCUGUGGAUAAGGAGAGUAGAGACUUCCUCUUCCUGCCUCCUGUCUUCUGGAGUUGUGACCGCAGGGUGGCCCAGGUGGAUCGGCUUCAGAGGCCAGGAGGCAGCUCUCUGCAGCCGAAGAGCAGGAGCCUCACCCACGGUCUGUGGCUCUGACUAAGCCUGGACUGCCUCUCGGCUGUGCUCCGUGGACUGGCUCCCCAGGGAUCCAUGUGAGAGACCGGAGUAUGAUCCUCAGUGCGAGGACAAAUAAAAGUAGUGAUUAUGUCCACCCCA
rnacentral:lncRNA from 10 species